CACAAAUUUCUUUCAUGCUCCUGCUCCCUAGAGGAACAAUUGUCCUUACUUCAACACCAUGUUCGUUGCCAUGGGAAGUUUUGUUGGAGGCAGCAGUGUGCCCAGUUAAAAGAGUACAAUUUUCUAGGCAUGUGAACAAGUUCUGGUCCAACCACCCCCUUCCUGCUUCCUGUCUGGAAUGUCGACCUGAUGGUUCCAACAUAAACAAGAAAAUUCCCAGCAGACUUCCCCUUACAUCACAGGCCAGAACUGGGGCCCCAAGGAAGGCUGAGAAUGCAAGUACUUAGCAUCUUUUUGCCUCUACUGUGAGAGACAGCCCUGCCAGCAAGGAAGACGCGAGAGUUGGUAUGACCUUGGGAAGACAGCCAACAGUGUCUGCCACAGGGACCUUGUAGCUAUGGUCACUGCAUGUACCUUGCCGAUUUCUUAUGGCCAUUGAGCUAAAAUGUGGAGUGUGCAAUGUUACAUGAAGCAUGAGGAAGAUGAGAGAGUGGAAAAUACGUGGCUGGCAUAGAAAGGCAGUUUGAUGAAUGGGUAAACUUCAAGAAUCUGAAAAGUUGUAAACUAUCCCUAGUCCACAAAACUAUUCAAAUCAGCAGGACAAAACUGCCAG